AUUGAACGCUGGCGGCAUGCCUUACACAUGCAAGUCGAACGGCAGCGCGGGAGCAAUCCUGGCGGCGAGUGGCGAACGGGUGAGUAAUACAUCGGAACGUGCCCAAUCGUGGGGGAUAACGCAGCGAAAGCUGUGCUAAUACCGCAUACGAUCUACGGAUGAAAGCAGGGGAUCGCAAGACCUUGCGCGAAUGGAGCGGCCGAUGGCAGAUUAGGUAGUUGGUGAGGUAAAGGCUCACCAAGCCUUCGAUCUGUAGCUGGUCUGAGAGGACGACCAGCCAACCUGGACUGAGACACGGCCCAGACUCCUACGGGAGGCAGCAGUGGGGAAUUUUGGACAAUGGGCGAAAGCCUGAUCCAGCCAUGCCGCGUGCAGGAUGAAGGCCUUCGGGUUGUAAACUGCUUUUGUACGGAACGAAACGGUCUUUUCUAAUAAAGAAGGCUAAUGACGGUACCGUAAGAAUAAGCACCGGCUAACUACGUG
rnacentral:rRNA from 1 species